CUAUACAUGCAAGUUGAGCGCUGAGGUUGGUACUUGUACCAACUGGAUGAGCAGCGAACGGGUGAGUAACGCGUGGGGAAUCUGCCUUUGAGCGGGGGACAACAUUUGGAAACGAAUGCUAAUACCGCAUAAAAACUUUAAACACAAGUUUUAAGUUUGAAAGAUGCAAUUGCAUCACUCAAAGAUGAUCCCGCGUUGUAUUAGCUAGUUGGUGAGGUAAAGGCUCACCAAGGCGAUGAUACAUAGCCGACCUGAGAGGGUGAUCGGCCACAUUGGGACUGAGACACGGCCCAAACUCCUACGGGAGGCAGCAGUAGGGAAUCUUCGGCAAUGGACGAAAGUCUGACCGAGCAACGCCGCGUGAGUGAAGAAGGUUUUCGGAUCGUAAAACUCUGUUGGUAGAGAAGAACGUUGGUGAGAGUGGAAAGCUCAUCAAGUGACGGUAACUACCCAGAAAGGGACGGCUAACUACGUGCCAGCAGCCGCGGUAAUACGUAGGUCCCGAGCGUUGUCCGGAUUUAUUGGGCGUAAAGCGAGCGCAGGUGGUUUAUUAAGUCUGGUGUAAAAGGCAGUGGCUCAACCAUUGUAUGCAUUGGAAACUGGUAGACUUGAGUGC
rnacentral:rRNA from 1 species